AUGGCUGUUGAUGAUGUGGCUGAUAAAAGAGCCAGACUAUUGGCUUCCAAAAGCAGGUGGAGUGGGAUGAAUGACGUUGCAGCUACUCACCCACUCAUCAACCCCAAUGGAGAAAAAUGUACUAAAGACAGCAUUCAGCAUUGGCUCAUUUCGAUCACUGAGGAAGAUGCUAAACCAGAUGUUGUCCAGGAUGCACCAGGUAAGUGUUCACUUGACAUUGCUUGAAGUGUCAUGUUACUUCUGGCACUGGUUUGUUUUCCAGUGGCAUGAUUAUUGGACAUGUUUAGUGUAGGCUAAUUUAGCUUUGUGAGAUGAAAAAGUGAAGUAUUACUUGUAUCCUUCUCUGAAAGGACAUUUAUAAAGACAUUUUACUUGAGAAGGGGUUUUGCAGCUCUUCCCAGAAGCCACUUGAUGGGCAGUGGCUCUUCAUGCCUGAUCCAGUCAAACAACAUGCAAAGCAGUCCUGCAACAAUCCAGGGCUGGAAACUUAGUCUGUAACUUGAUCUAAUCGGCUUUAUCAACACUAAACGUCCAGGUUUAAUCUUUGUCCUUCUGCAUUAUGUCAUAAAUAUAGUCUAGUUUAUAGUGCUCCUGGUAUGAGAUUAGAGAUGAGGGGAAAAAUACCUGGGAUACUAAGGACGUAAGUGUAAUCAGUUUAAAUCUUUUUUUUUUCCUGAGCAGCUAUACUUAGCUUGUAUUGUACAUAAAAUGGUUGACUCCUGGUUUUAAAUUGUCUAACUGUUGGUUUACACUGUAAUUGGUUUUGUAUAAGCUGUAGAAUAAACAAUGCUGUUCUGUUUAUAGUUCCUCUAAAGAGGAACGCCAGUUCUGAAGAUGAUUUGGCGCUGGGCACAGAAGGUAAGCCUAUUCUCUGUUUUGUAUUGUUCAGGUGAUGAGCACAAGUUUAGAUAAAGCAAAUACUGAUCUGAAACAGGAAUCAUGGUUUUAAACACAUCAAUGAUUUAUCUGAAAUAUGCCUCAAGGUCUAUUGUUUUAGCUUUCAAAGUGGUGAACACACAGACUAGAAUUCUUUCCCAGUACAAGUUUAUUUAUGUUGGAGGGAAUUAGAUUGGCACAGUACUAGGAUGUGUGCACUGUGUUCACGCGUACUCAGCUUCUUCUGGUAGAUGGAGAGAGGGAGAGGGCUGGGGCAGGAGGAAAGGUUCAGGGAGACACCGUUAAGCCUCUCUUCCAUGACUGGAUGUUUAACACAACUCAGAAGAACACUCUGCUCUUGUCCAAACACCGUCACAGUGUGAGGAACACCAGUCCCCCGCUGUCACUCGCCUCUGCCUGAGUGAAGAGAAUGCUUGUUCCAACUUACAAAAUGACGUAAAGAUGGGAUAGAAUAAGGUAAGGCGGAAAAAGCAUUUGUGAAUUCUGUGUGAAUGGAGAGAUCGGAGAUAGGUGGAAUGGUGUUCUUCCACAAUGGAUGUAGAGAACGCGCUCUGCUUGUGGAGAGGAGUUAGCACUACUGCCAUCUCUGGAAUACAGCAUACAUGGGACGUGGAGCUUUAGUGGACCUUGUCUAGCAGCUUUAUUUGUCCUCUAUGCAUUGGCAUGGGUCUGUGCAGACAUAACAGGGGGCAUAUCAGGACAGUCCGUUCCCCCCCUGCAUGGAUUGGUUUUCAUUGUUAUGUACUACUUGUUGUCCUCAUUCACUCUAGAUGUCUCCUCAGAGGCUUUCUUCUUUUCUAUCAAGACAGCAGGAAACAUCCACUGUGAAUUUUUGUGGAUCUUUCUGGGCGUAUGGGCUAUUUUGCCCACUGUCAAGCAUUGCUUCAUUUAUGGAUGUGGAACUGCGAUUAUACAAUGGCAGCCAAGAAGAUUAUGAGUCUUAGGAAGGGAGUGAAAUGCUGGAAUGGACUGGAAUGCCAUCGCUCUACAGAAUCAAACACAUCUAAUGCUUUGGCAGAAGGAGAGGAGACAUAAUAGGAGAGGCCUGCAUUGGAAAUGCUCUUAUGAGAAGACACUUGGUCUCACGUUGUCCUUGACAUUAUGCCAAAGAGAGAUGAAGGAAAAACGUUGAUGGUUCGGUAUGAGAGGACAGCCAAAUGAAAACAAGAAGAACGCUUUCCUAAUAUAGCUUCUGUGGUACUGCUCUAAUGUUGAUGACAGCAACCAGGGAGACUUGAGUUCUUGAGCAUGUUUUAUUGCCACAAGCUAAUGUGUCAGUUCAAAAUGACCUCUUCUCUUUUCUGCCUUUUUCCAAAACAGCAUCAUUAUAUGGUAAACCUGCUAUAAGGACAGCACAAGGAUUUCUAAGGUAAGGUUCUCUCAUCUGUUUCCUUUUUUAAAGUAAACAUUAUAGAAAUGUGAUCUAUGCAGCCAUG
ensembl:lncRNA